rnacentral:rRNA from 1 species
CUUACCUGGGUUUGACAUGCACCAGACGCGUCCAGAGAUGGGCGUUCCCUUGUGGCUGGUGUGCAGUGGUGCAUGGCUGUCGUCAGCUCGUGUCGUGAGAUGUUGGGUUAAGUCCCGCAACGAGCGCAACCCUUGUCCUAUGUUGCCAGCGGGUGAUGCCGGGGACUCAUGGAAAACUGCCAGGGUCAACUCGGAGGAAGGUGGGGAUGACGUCAAGUCAUCAUGCCCCUUAUGUCCAGG